rnacentral:rRNA from 1 species
AGUGAACGCUGGCGGUAGGCCUAACACAUGCAAGUCGAACGGCAGCACAGUAAGAGCUUGCUCUUACGGGUGGCGAGUGGCGGACGGGUGAGGAAUACAUCGGAAUCUACUUUUUCGUGGGGGAUGACGUAGGGAAACUUACGCUAAUACCGCAUACGACCUACGGGUGAAAGCAGGGGAUCUUCGGACCUUGCGCGAUUGAAUGAGCCGAUGUCGGAUUAGCUAGUUGGCGGGGUAAAGGCCCACCAAGGCGACGAUCCGUAGCUGGUCUGAGAGGAUGAUCAGCCACACUGGAACUGAGACACGGUCCAGACUCCUACGGGAGGCAGCAGUGGGGAAUAUUGGACAAUGGGCGCAAGCCUGAUCCAGCUAUACCGCGUGGGUGAAGAAGGCCUUCGGGUUGUAAAGCCCUUUUGUUGGGAAAGAAAAGCAGCAGGUUAAUACCCCGCUGUUCUGACGGUACCCAAAGAAUAAGCACCGGCUAACUUCGUG